rnacentral:miRNA from 1 species
UGCCCCUUUGUCAAUCCACUGC